UACGUAGGGUGCGAGCGUUGUCCGGAAUUAUUGGGCGUAAAGAGCUCGUAGGCGGUUUGUUGCGUCGGCUGUGAAAUCCCGAAGCUCAACCUCGGGUCUGCAGUCGAUACGAGCAAACUAGAGUGUUGCAGGGGAGACUGGAAUUCCUGGUGUAGCGGUGAAAUGCGCAGAUAUCAGGAGGAACACCGGUGGCGAAGGCGGUCUGCUGGGCAGUUGCUGACACUGGAGGCGCGACAGCCGUGGGGGAGCAAACAGGG
rnacentral:rRNA from 1 species